CCCACCCUUAAUUUAACCGGAGUCACCAGUCAGCUCCUGAGGCAUAAACAGGCAGCUGAAGCACCGCGCGUAGGCUGACUUUAGUGCUGGAUGCCGAGCAGCGCUUGGCACAGGUGGAGGAGUUUUCAUCACAGACCCAAAUUAACUCCGGUGAAGUUGUUCCGCGCCUGCCAGUGCCGGAGGAGCAAUCUCCGUGUGGGAGAAGCGCCCAGCGCGCCGCCCUCCCCUCCCGGCGCCGCUCGCCCGAACAAAGGCGGCAGCGCCGGGUCCCCUUUGUGCGCCGCGGGCCGGGCACGGAGCGAUCCCAGUGCCCGCCCCGGGCUCCCAGCACGGUCCGGCCCGGCACGGCACGGCCCGGCACAGCUCAGCUCAGCUCAGCUCAGCUCAGCACAGCACAGCACAGCACAGCAGCGCGUCGGGAGGAAGCGCCGGCUGCGCGGCGGGCGGGCGGCUGCCCGGGCCCUGCCCGCCCCCGUCUCCUCCCCUCGGCCGCCGAUUCUCCGCCCCCUCCGCCCUCUCCUCGCGGCGGCGGCGGUGCCUUCCUCGGCCCCGGCUCCUCCGGCUCUCCACGGCUUCGCCUCGCUCCGCUCCGGGGGCUCCCGCGCCGCGCUGCCCAGCACGAGUCCUCUGGAGCAUUACAUUCCCCUGUUUGGAGUGUGGACAAGAGUUUGGCAUUCUGCUUUUACAGAAAUGGAGCCCCAGUGUCGUGGUGCCUGGAGCACCAGCUUUCAGAAGGACUUGUGUCUCCUCCAGCAAGUGAUUCUUACAACAGGCACCACGAAGUGUCACCACAGUGGAAAUGUGGGUACAGCUGUGUCUUCAUUAUCCUCUUGACGUCACAUUUGAAGCUUCCUCUCAGGUUCCUUAGAAAUAUGUUAAUUUUAAAAAAAAAGGAAGUUAUUUUCAGCAGAAGAGAGAUGAAACACAGUGCUACAUGUGUGUAAGUGUCCAGUUGGGAGCCCAGGGUGGGGCUCCCAUCAUUUCUCAGACAGCCUCUGCAUGUUGGCUCAUUCCUGCUGAACUGUAUUUGACUUGAAAGAGUGAAAAUAAUGAUUUUGCUUCUCACUAGUCUAGUUCAUAUAUCAGUCAACAAUUGUUGGCUUUGCCAAGGGAGACUUUUGCUCUAUUAAUCCACAAGCUUGCUCUCCAGAGUCCUUCACUGUGGCCUCACCCCAGCCUGCCAACUUCUGGGUCUGCUCAGGGCUUCUUACCCACACACAGCACAGAAAUAAUAUUAACAGCAUCCACUUAAAUCAACAAGACAGCUUUGGGACUAUGCUUACAACUGUUAAGCCAAAGCAUAAAUAUUUCUGGAAACCUCAAAAAUGUAAAUCUAGAGUGGGAAACUGCUUGAAAAUUCACCUGUCACAGGUAGUACUGCAGUUCCAGUGUCAUAUAAACAUAAAGUAGCUUUUGUUUUAACUUAGUCAGAUCCCUAGUGAAAUAUUUUGUGACCGCUUUUGUUUUCAAAUUUACUAUGCUUUAGUUCAGUAAUUGGUUUAUGACUGUAAUUACUAGUCUUUCAGGCAACACUUAUUAAAAACAAAUUAGGUUUCUGAAAACUCUGGUGAUUUCAUGAUCAUAUAGAUCCAUAUAAAUCACAGUUAAUUAAGCUCUUUAUCACUUAGGUUUUCCAUACACAAUGUAUUUACAGCAUUGCUGUAAAUAAGACACAAUAUUCCUAUCUUUCCACACCAAUUUAGUCAUAUUAAAACAAAAAUGGGUUUGUAAAAAUGGAGGCUGAAAAUCAGAAUUUACUUAAGUAGCCUGCUGCACACUAACAAUGAUACGAUGGUGUAAGCUGAUUGUGUUUAUCUAGAGAGGGGGAAAACCC
ensembl:lncRNA